CCCAACAACACCCAGCUUCAACAAUUAUCAAUCAAGGCCACUUUUAUAUCAUGCAAACUGCUCUAGAUGGAUCUAGUCCAUUUUAAUCUAGUUAUUUUGGUCACAAGGGUAGGUAUUUUCUUAUAGGAGAGGGAAUUCGGGAUUUAGAGUCUGAAAAUGUGUUUCACCUUUGAUUAAAUGUAUGACCUUGGGCAGGUCACUUAAUUCUUUUGAUCCUCAGUAAAAUGAAGAUCUUUCAUCUGUAAAAUAAAAUUGAUAACACUGGCUACACAUACAAAAAGUGUACAGGCAGUGAGAUGUCUGUGAAAGAGGCUCAAAAAGGAAGCACUAUGUAAACACCUGCCACUGUGUACAGCACCAGGUGUGGCUCAACAAACAUUUAUUGAGGUUAUUGUUAAGUAUUAGGUCAUGCCAAAAAAAAAAGAGAAAACCCAACUCUUCAAUUUUAGGUUGCACCAUUGAGCUUCUCUUGUCACAUUGCAAAUGUGGUCACUAAGGCAACUGGGCCAGACAGAAUGGAUGACUCAUCCUGCUCCAACCUAGUAUGCACAUCCUGUUGGUCCAGGAGAGUCACUUCUCAUACCACAUGUCCUUGUUCAAUGUCAAGGCCUGGAAAAUGUCAAAUCAUGUCAAAAGUCUCCAGUCCUAUAUCUCCGUGAAGGUUCAGAGUGAGAACUGCAGAGCCAGUGGGCAAGACCUGAAAAUUAUAUUUUGAAAAAGCAGCUGUUGUGAACACAAGCCAAAUCACCCUUUCAAAAAGAAUUUGGAGGUAAGUCUCAGAUACAGAAUUUAAAGCUGCAAGAGGAGACUAUAGGUGAAUGCCUGACCCAAAGGUUGGUCCGAAAACUAUUUUGACUACAGCCAGAGAGAUGCUAUUUCUUCCUUAUUUUUCUUCCCUUACAGAGAAGAGAAUUUUAGAAUUUCAUCUUUGCCCUAACCUCUGCCUCCUGGUGGCCCAUGAAAACAAUAUUGUCCUGCUCAGCAGGGCAAAGCCUCCUAUUUCCAGCUGUCCUUUACCCAUCCCGUAGCUCCACACUGAGGUCCCCGCUGUAGAUGGAUUUCUCAGCCAGUGAUUUUCUCACUACUGAGCCCCAGCUGUUUUGCAUCCGUGGAGCACAUGAGGGCGAGAGCAGAAAUGAAAGGACCAAGGCAGUGUCAGUGCACUAGGGUCCAGGUCACUGGUGAUUCCAGUUUUUAAUGAACAUGGAGUCCAGGGACCUGAAAGGAAGGUCAGAGUUCACAGAAGAGUAAGCACAAUAUGCGUCUGGAUUAUUAAAUCCUCACUGUGCAGACAUCACUGUUCCUCAAUACCCAUUCCUCUCAGGGGUUCAGUGUUGCCCUGAGCAGUCAGGGCUCCUGAUCUCCUGGAAGCCUUUGACUUCAUGCUGUCAAAGGAGUAUGAAGGACAUUUGACAACUGGGUUAUGUCCUAAGAAUUUGAUUCCCACUCUGACUCUCCAGGUUUCUGACUUCUCCUUUUCCCCAGAAAGAAUCCAUAACCAAGUCUCCAAAGUGGCUCCAGGAGAAAGAUGUGGCCUGCAGAAGGGAAGUCUUACUCAGAGGUCUAUUCUGGCCUCUGCUUAAUUCAGCUGUUCCCCGUAUUUUCAUUUGGUCAUGCCUUUGAAUUUCAGAGAUCUUGACUUCCUGGUUCCAUCACUGGAAAGAAUACGUUUGCUGGUGGGAAGCAGUCUUUAUUUCUUCCACUUCAGAGUUGUUUUCUUUAUCGGCUUCUAGGAGAAGAUACUAUCCACUUCUCUCCCUCUUUUUUUUUGAAAGAGGGUCUCACUCUGUCACCCAGGCUUGAGUGCAGUGGCAUGAUUUGGCUUAUUGCAAACUCAACCUCCUGGGCUCAAGUGAUCCUUCCACCUCAGCCUCUUGAGUAGCUGGGACUAUAGUUGCACACCACCACACCCAGCUAAUUUUUGUAAUUUGUUUAGAGACGGGGUCUUGCCCCAUUGCCCAGGCUGGUCUCAAACUCCUGGACUCAAGCAACC
rnacentral:lncRNA from 10 species